AGACGAUAAAGGCAAACCUCGCGCAAGCGGGGGACGUCCGCCACAAAGCGUGGCGGACCCGCCAAGAAGUGUGGCGGGCAAAGCUACGGGUCCUUCAAGUGGGGACAGCCGGGCUGCCGAA
rnacentral:ncRNA from 1 species